UGUACAGGUCCCCAUGUAAACGCAGUUUUUGCAGAUUUUGAAGUAACACUGAACCGAGUGUGUGACACAGGACAGUACCCGUUAGCAUUAAAUGACGAAUCUCAAAAGCCAUGCAUGCCCUCAUGAACAUCAAACGCCAGGCAUUCGAGAAAGAGAGAGAGAUGUGUGUGUAGUGUGUGACUUCGCAAGCAGCAAGUGAUGCAGCGGUUACGAUACGAGGGAAGUCUCGCAAUUAAGCAAAACCUGGACCACAUCUAUGUAGAUUAGGUGUGCAAGUACGUUGAUUUCGUCUACGGCAUACACCACUUCAUG